CGGCGAGUGAAGCGGCAACAGCUCAAAUUUGAAAUCUGNNNUCUUCGGCGUCCGAGUUGUAAUUUGCAGAGGGCGCUUUGGCAUUGGCAGCGGUCCAAGUUCCUUGGAACAGGACGUCACAGAGGGUGAGAAUCCCGUACGUGGUCGCUAGCCUUUACCGUGUAAAGCCCCUUCGACGAGUCGAGUUGUUUGGGAAUGCAGCUCUAAAUGGGAGGUAAAUUUCUUCUAAAGCUAAAUACUGGCCAGAGACCGAUAGCGCACAAGUAGAGUGAUCGAAAGAUGAAAAGCACUUUGGAAAGAGAGUUAAAAAGCACGUGAAAUUGUUGAAAGGGAAGCGCUUGCAGCCAGACUUGUCUGUAGUUGCUCAUCCGGGUUUCUACCCGGUGCACUCUUCUAUAGGCAGGCCAGCAUCAGUUUGGGCGGUUGGAUAAAGGUCUCUGUCAUGUACCUCUCUUCGGGGAGAACUUAUAGGGGAGACGACAUGCAACCAGCCUGGACUGAGGUCCGCGCAUCUGCUAGGAUGCUGGCGUAAUGGCUGUAAGCGGCCCGUCUUGAAACACGGACCAAGGAGUCUAACAUCUAUGCGAGUGUUUGGGUGUCAAGCCCGAGCGCGUAAUGAAAGUGAACGGAGGUGGGAACCUUUCGGGGUGCACCAUCGACCGAUCCUGAUGUCUUCGGAUGGAUUUGAGUAAGAGCAUA
rnacentral:rRNA from 1 species